GACAAGGUCAGCCAGCUGCAUAUAGAAGACAUGUAUAUUCCAGUUGCAAAAUAGUAGGAGUAUCACAACACUAAAGAUUCAAACUUAUUAUUUAAGUGACCAUGUUGUAACAGCAUGCUCUCCUCUACCCUGCUUCUCACCUUCAGUCUGGCCAUUGCCUUGCCCAAAUGCUGCCAGUUGCACCAAAGGCCUCGCUCAGGCAGAUUGUGGCCGAUGUGCUGGCUACACCCAAAGCACAGCAAGGAGGAGCCAGGCAGAACUUCAGGCAGGCCAGUAGGCCUCUGAGCUCUUACACACAGCAGCUGGCUGCAUGGCAGGAUCUCCCCUUGAGUUUGGAUUCUUGUCAAGGCCAAGCCUGCUGCAAAGAUCCCUUACUCCUCACAACUCCUUGAUGCAACAGAACGUUGCGCACAGAGAGAAGCGGAGAAUUCAAGAUGACAGACUGCAGCAAGCCCUCCUGGUGCUCAGCACCCAGGGAGAAGGAUCACUGUUAAUGAGCUGUGGGCAGAAGAUGGUUUGCCCAUUCCUGCCUUACAGAAAGAAAUCAGUGCUAAACCCUCGUUCACAAUUAUCUUGUUCCUUACAAGCAGGGAGUUGCAAUAAAUGGAAUUAUACUUUCUCUGAAGCUAAUGACUGAGUUUUAAGGUUUUCAGACAUCAGCACCAGCCUACCUAACCCAUGCUUAUUAUGCAGUUUCUGAUGUGGGAUUGAGGCAACCUGGGAGGACAAAUACAUCGGCAAGGUGACUUCACAUGCCAGUGAC
rnacentral:lncRNA from 1 species